AGAGUUUGAUUAUGGCUCAGGAUGAACGCUAGCGACAGGCCUAACACAUGCAAGUCGAGGGGCAGCGCGGAAAUAGUUACUAGUCUGGCGGCGACCGGCGCACGGGUGCGUAACAGGUGUGCAAUCUGUCCAUAGUCGGGGAAUAGCCCACCGAAAGGUGAAUUAAUGCUCCAUGUGAGUAGAAGCCGCAUGACUUUUACUUAAAACGUAAGGACUAUGGGUGAGCACGCUUCUGAUUAGAUAGUUGGUGGGGUAACGGCCUACCAAGUCGACGAUCAGUAGGGGUUCUGAGAGGAAGGUCCCCCACAUUGGAACUGAGACACGGUCCAAACUCCUACGGGAGGCAGCAGUGAGGAAUAUUGGUCAAUGGGCGAGAGCCUGAACCAGCCAAGUCGCGUGAAGGAAUGAAGGUUCUAUGGAUUGUAAACUUCUUUUAUUCGAGGGUAAAGUGUGGUACGUGUACCAUAUUGCAAGUAUCGAAUGAAUAAGCAUCGGCUAACUCCGUGCCAGCCGCCGC
rnacentral:rRNA from 1 species